rnacentral:rRNA from 1 species
UAGCUAGUUGGUGGGGUAAGGGCCUACCAAGGCGACGAUCGGUAGCUGGUCUGAGAGGAUGGCCAGCCACACUGGAACUGAGACACGGUCCAGACUCCUACGGGAGGCAGCAGUGGGGAAUAUUGGACAAUGGGGGCAACCCUGAUCCAGCAAUGCCGCGUGUGUGAAGAAGGCCUGAGGGUUGUAAAGCACUUUCAGUGGGGAGGAGGGUAUUUAGGUUAAGAGCUAGGAUACUGGACGUUACCCACAGAAGAAGCACCGGCUAACUCCGUGCCAGCAGCCGCGGUAAUACGGAGGGUGCGAGCGUUAAUCGGAAUUACUGGGCGUAAAGGGUGCGUAGGUGGUUUAUUAAGUUAUGUGUAAAAUCCCUGGGCUCAACCUGGGCAGGUCAUAUAAUACUGGUAGACUCGAGUAUGGGAGAGGGUAGUGGAAUUUCCGGUGUAGCGGUGAAAUGCGUAGAGAUCGGAAGGAACACCAGUGGCGAAGGCGGCUACCUGGCCUAAUACUGACACUGAGGCACGAAAGCGUGGGGAGCAAACAGGAUUAGAUACCCUGGUAGUCCACGCUGUAAACGAUGUCAACUAGCUGUUGGUUAUAUGAAUAUAAUUAGUGGCGC